rnacentral:rRNA from 1 species
UCCGGAGGGUGCAAGCGUUAAUCGGAAUUACUGGGCGUAAAGCGUGCGCAGGCGGUUUGUUAAGUCCGUUGUGAAAUCCCCGAGCUCAACUUGGGAAUUGCAAUGGAUACUGGCAAGCUGGAGUAUGGUAGAGGAAGGUGGACUUCCCGGUGUAGCAGUGAAAUGCGUAGAGAUCGGGAGGAACACCAGUGGCGAAGGCGGCCUUCUGGACCAAUACUGACGCUCAUGCACGAAAGCGUGGGGAGCAAACAGG